GUUCUUUAUGACUGAGUGGCGGACGGGUGAGUAACGCGUGGGUAGCCUGCCUUGUACUGGGGGAUAGCAGCUGGAAACGGCUGGUAAUACCGCAUAAGCGCACAAUGUUGCAUGACAUGGUGUGAAAAACUCCGGUGGUAUAAGAUGGACCCGCGUCUGAUUAGCUAGUUGGUGAGAUAACAGCCCACCAAGGCGACGAUCAGUAGCCGACCUGAGAGGGUGACCGGCCACAUUGGGACUGAGACACGGCCCAGACUCCUACGGGAGGCAGCAGUGGGGAAUAUUGCACAAUGGAGGAAACUCUGAUGCAGCGACGCCGCGUGAGUGAAGAAGUAAUUCGUUAUGUAAAGCUCUAUCAGCAGGGAAGAUAGUGACGGUACCUGACUAAGAAGCUCCGGCUAAAUACGUGCCAGCAGCCGCGGUAAUACGUAUGGAGCAAGCGUUAUCCGGAUUUAUUGGGUGUAAAGGGAGUGUAGGUGGCCAUGCAAGUCAGAAGUGAAAAUCCGGGGCUCAACCCCGGAACUGCUUUUGAAACUGUAAGGCUGGAGUGCAGGAGGGGUGAGUGGAAUUCCUAGUGUAGCGGUGAAAUGCGUAGAUAUUAGGAGGAACACCAGUGGCGAAGGCGGCUUACUGGACGG
rnacentral:rRNA from 1 species